rnacentral:misc_RNA from 1 species
GAUGAAGAACGUAGCGAAAUGCGAUACUUGGUGUGAAUUGCAGAAUCCCGUGAACCAUCGAGUCUUUGAACGCAAGUUGCGCCCGAAGCCAUCAGGUUGAGGGCACGUCUGCCUGGGCGUCACAUAUCGUUGCCCAAUGCCUAUUGCAGUGCAAUAGGAAUUUCUAGGGCGAAUGAUGGCUUCCCGUGAGCGUUGUUGCCUCGCGGUUGGUUGAAAAUCGAGUCCUUGGUAGGGUGUGCCAUGGUAGAUGGUGGUCGAGUUAGAACGAUACCGAUCAUGUGCAUGCUCCCCAAAAUAUGGCCUCUAUGACCCACACGCGUCUUUUGACGCUCAUGACGAGACCUCAGGUCAGGCGGGGCUACCCGCUGAAGUUACGCAUAUCAAUAAGCGGAGGA